AAAAACUCUGUCUAAAAAAACCAAAAAAAAAGGCUGGGCCGUGGUGGCACUCGCCUUUAAUCCCAGCACUCAGGAGGCAGAGGCAGGUGGAUCUCUGUGAGUUCGAGGCCAGCCUGGGCUACAGAGUGAGUUCCAGGACAGGCUCCAAAACAACACAGAGAAACCCUGUC